rnacentral:rRNA from 1 species
UGAGCAAUCUGCCCUUCUCAUCGGAAUAAGCGUUGGAAACGACGUCUAAUGCCGAAUACGACCUCCUUUCGCAUGAUCGGAGGUGGAAAGCUCCGGCGGAGAAGGAUGAGCUCGCGGCCUAUCAGCUAGUUGGUGGGGGUAAUGGUCCACCAAGGCGACGACGGGUAGCCGGCCUGAGAGGGUGACCGGCCACACUGGGACUGAGAUACGGCCCAGACUCCUACGGGAGGNAGCG